rnacentral:rRNA from 1 species
AUUGAACGCUGGCGGCAGGCCUAACACAUGCAAGUCGAGCGGGAACUUCGGUUCUAGCGGCGGACGGGUGAGUAAUGCGUAGGAAGCUACCCGACAGAGGGGGAUACCAGUUGGAAACGACUGUUAAUACCGCAUAAUGUCUACGGACCAAAGUGUGGGACCUUCGGGCCACAUGCUGUCGGAUGCGCCUACGUGGGAUUAGCUAGUUGGUGAGGUAAUGGCUCACCAAGGCGACGAUCCCUAGCUGGUUUGAGAGGAUGAUCAGCCACACUGGAGCUGAGACACGGUCCAGACUCCUACGGGAGGCAGCAGUGGGGAAUAUUGGACAAUGGGCGAAAGCCUGAUCCAGCCAUGCCGCGUGUGUGAAGAAGGCCUUCGGGUUGUAAAGCACUUUCAGUAGGGAGGAAGAGUUGAGUGUUAAUAGUACUCAGCUUUGACGUUACCUACAGAAGAAGCACCGGCUAACUCUGUGCCAGCCGCCGCCGUAACAC